rnacentral:rRNA from 1 species
GACGAACGCUGGCGGCGUGCUUAACACAUGCAAGUCGAACGGAAAGGCCCUGCUUUUGUGGGGUGCUCGAGUGGCGAACGGGUGAGUAACACGUGAGUAACCUGCCCUUGACUUUGGGAUAACUUCAGGAAACUGGGGCUAAUACCGGAUAGGAGCUCCUGCUGCAUGGUGGGGGUUGGAAAGUUUCGGCGGUUGGGGAUGGACUCGCGGCUUAUCAGCUUGUUGGUGGGGUAGUGGCUUACCAAGGCUUUGACGGGUAGCCGGCCUGAGAGGGUGACCGGCCACAUUGGGACUGAGAUACGGCACAGACUCCUACGGGAGGCAGCAGUGGGGAAUAUUGCACAAUGGGCGGAAGCCUGAUGCAGCGACGCCGCGUGCGGGAUGACGGCCUUCGGGUUGUAAACCGCUUUCGCCUGUGACGAAGCGUGAGUGACGGUAAUGGGUAAAGAAGCACCGGCUAACUACGUG